GGGUCGGGAAGCAUUAGUCUAUGCGUCCUAUUUUGAAAAUAGGGAGAGGGUUACUCCCCCCGUCCU
rnacentral:tRNA from 1 species